UCUCUUGAGGAAAAUGAACCAUUUAAAACAUUAAGUUUUCUUCGCAGAGGAAAUAUUAGCACUAUAUUAUAAGUAAAAAAAGAAAGAUUUACUAGAUCUGUUACCUCUGAUUCCACCAAUAUUUCAUCAAUUCUAUAGUGAUUUGAAAACAACAAAUGAGACUCAAGAUAAUGACCCAAAUCUUGAUGAAACAUUUUUAGUAAAAAGUUGAGUGUUUGGCAAGAAAUCAUCGAUAAUAUUAAUGUUAAAUAUAAGUCAACUAUUACACUAGAAUCCAUCCGCAUUCGCGUUGCGUUAAACAGAGAUGAUAGUAUCAGAGAUAAAAUUGGACUAGUUAGUGAAAUAAAUGUUGAUUCUUAUCACAGCGCAACCCCUAAUAAUGAUUGUAUGGUUAAUAAUGGUUGUGUAACAUCAAGUACGGAAGAAAACGAUGAAAAAGAUAAAUCAAACAACAUUUUUGAUAUAACUUU